rnacentral:rRNA from 1 species
UUGUCUCAAAGAUUAAGCCAUGCAUGUCUCAGUACACGCCCAAUUAAGGUGAAACCGCGAAAGGCUCAUUAAAUCAGUUAUGGUUCCUUAGAUCGUACUCACAUUUACUUGGAUAACUGUGGUAAUUCUAGAGCUAAUACAUGCAAAUAGAGCUCGGCCCGGAUGACGGAACGAGUGCUUUUAUUAGAUCAAAACCAAUCGGUGACGGGUUCGCUCGUCAUCGCCCACUUUGGUGACUCUGAAUAACUUUAAGCUGAUCGCACGGUCUUGCACCGGCGACGCAUCUUUCAAAUGUCUGCCUUAUCAACUGUCGAUGGUAGGUUCUGCGCCUACCAUGGUUGUAACGGGUAACGGGGAAUCAGGGUUCGAUUCCGGAGAGGGAGCCUGAGAAACGGCUACCACAUCCAAGGAAGGCAGCAGGCGCGCAAAUUACCCACUCCCGGCACGGGGAGGUAGUGACGAAAAAUAACGAUACGGGACUCAUCCGAGGCCCCGUAAUCGGAAUGAGUACACUCUAAACCCUUUAACGAGGAUCAAUUGGAGGGCAAGUCUGGUGCCAGCAGCCGCGGUAAUUCCAGCUCCAAUAGCGUAUAUUAAAGUUGUUGCGGUUAAAAAGCUCGUAGUCGGAUUUGUGUCUCGCGCCGCCGGUUCAUCGUCCGCGGUGUCAACUGGCGUCUCGCGAGACGUAUUGCCGGUGGGCAUAGCCUCUCGGGGCUGCCCAACUAAUCCCGCCGCGGUGCUCUUAAUUGAGUGUCGAGGUAGGCCGGCACGUUUACUUUGAACAAAUUAGAGUGCUUAAAGCAGGCUAGAACUUCGCCUGAAUAUUGUGUGCAUGGAAUAAUGGAAUAGGACCUCGGUUCUAUUUUGUUGGUUUUCGGAACCCCGAGGUAAUGAUUAAUAGGAACGGAUGGGGGCAUUCGUAUUGCGACGUUAGAGGUGAAAGGUGAAAUUCUUGGACCGUCGCAAGACGAACAGAAGCGAAAGCAUUUGCCAAAAACGUUUUCAUUGAUCAAGAACGAAAGUCAGAGGUUCGAAGGCGAUCAGAUACCGCCCUAGUUCUGACCAUAAACUAUGCCAGCUAGCGAUCCGCCGACGUUCCUCCGAUGACUCGGCGGGCAGCUUCCGGGAAACCAAAGCUUUUGGGUUCCGGGGGAAGUAUGGUUGCAAAGCUGAAACUUAAAGGAAUUGACGGAAGGGCACCACCAGGAGUGGAGCCUGCGGCUUAAUUUGACUCAACACGGGAAACCUCACCAGGCCCGGACACCGGAAGGAUUGACAGAUUGAGAGCUCUUUCUUGAUUCGGUGGGUGGUGGUGCAUGGCCG